CUCUACUAUUUCUGAAAGUACGGGUUCCACAGUUCUCCUCUUAAAUAUUAGGCAUUGCAUCGAUGUUCCCCCUACUCAUUGGUAUAGACCCACAGUCUUAGUGGCAGCUGUGCAUUUCCUCUAUGUCUGGAGGACCAUAUGCCACCCUACAAUUGUGUGUAAAUGCCUGGUAAGCCUGAUACACAUGAAGGAAAAGAUGCCCCCUCUGUACAACUGACUGAACCCAAGAUUUCACAGGAAUUUUCCUAUGAAAGAAAGAUGAACCUCAGAAUAUAGGGCACAGUAUUCAGAGCAAUAUCUCAUCAUAAAGAAGUCCUACGAAUAAUGAAAAUCCCAGCUACCUAGUUCUUAUCAGCAGCUAAUCCUCCUCACAGUGUGCUGCUGGAAGGAAAUUUCACAUCAUUUGUCAUUUUAGCAUACUUCAUACCAGCUAUUUUUUUUCACAUUCAUAAAGCUCUUGUGACCUUUCUUGCUCCCACUGUCAGGCUUCUAAUUGUUUGUAUUGAAAUCAUCCUAAUUAGAUGGCAAGAUUUGUAGGGUGUGGACCAUGUCUAAUUGUUUGGUUUGUAAGAGUGUAAGUGUACAGUGCUUAUAUUAAACUGCAUCUUGUCCUGUAUUUUAUUGUGCUUGUUACAGAGAAACAGUUAGACAUUUUGUUUUCAGCUUCCUUUCUAAACUAAACAAAGCUUAUAUGAUCAAGGCUACAUAUAUCUCCAUGUAUGUUUUUACUCACAAAAUUUCAGAUCCCUCUGUCCAAGUUUUACUAUAUUUACAUUCACCCAAAAGGGGAGUAAGCUCAGAGAUAACAAACACCUACCAUUAUUCAUGAAAAUAGGUGUGUUGAAGAUAUUACUUUUCUGAGAAAAAAGCUGCAGAACAUGCUCAAUACUUUUGAGAUAUUAUGAAAAAACAGAUAAGCACACUAUUUACAGUUCAAAUCUCAGGGAAGAACAUCAAUCAGAGCUCACAUCUUUCAUUUGCCAGAACCAAAUGUGCGUCAAACAUCCAUAGAAAAACAGAUUCACCAGUUGUGAAUACAGCUCAUACAGCUACUUAAGAACUUACAAACAGAUCUAGUGAGUCAUGCCAAAGGUCUACCUUGUCAAGCAACCUGUUACUGGCUGUGGUUAACAGUGGGCUUGCAGUGAAAAUCAGAGCAGGGGAGAUACCUAGCAGUUUUUCCCCAGAGUACUGCUUCUAGCAAUGUAUGGAUCACAGAUAUCAUGAGCUUGGCAUUAUGUCUGUGUGCUUAAUAGCUCAGCCCCCUUACAAGGAUUUUUUCAAUUGCUUUUGGCACUUCUAUAAACAUCUGGCAUCUCUUACUUUCCAUGGCAAUGAAGUCCCACAUCUUACCUAGAUGCUUCAUAAAGAAAUGUCUCCUUUUCCUUGCCUUGUACUGCCACCUGUUAGUCUUACAUGAUACUCCCUGGAGUUUAUAUUUUUUUAAGAAAACAGCUCUUCCUUGGUUAUCCACAAUUUAUAACCUUUUAGUCUAACGACCUUGGUCAUAUUCUCUCUCAGUUGCUUCUUUCCCAGCUGUUUAGCGGAAAGAUUUAAAACCAAUUAAAAAGCCAUUGGAGCUUCACUGACUUAGUGGCCUUUGGAUCAUUUUCAAAAGAGGUAUAGAGUACACAGUACACUAAGCAUAUGAUUGACUACCCUCUGUGCCAAAACCCAAUCGCUAGUUCAUAAGAUAUUUUUAAUAUUCUACAUUAUAUUUGUGGUGAAAUAAUAUAGAAAUAUUUCUGUCUUUUUAACUUCUUGAAUUGGUAUCAGUAUGUUAGAGAUAAGGUCUCGAAAAGAAUGGUACAAACAUUGCAAUAAAAUUAUUUUUAACUGAUUAAAACAAACUUCUGUUAUUUACUACCUGAAGAACAGAAAAAAAAAAGAGCAAACACCUUUUACCUUUUCAUAGGGUUUAAGAUGCAAAGGAAAAGAAAGCAGUAUGAUAAACAGAACAAUGGGGAUGGAUAGCUUAGCACCAUUUCCAGGCUAAGUUCCAAGUAAUUUCUAUAAUCAAGUUCCAAUCCAAGUACAUCUUUGCCUCAUUUCUUUUGGAUCUGACAAACUUAAGAAUAGGAAAGUCAAGGGCUUAUUUUUUUUUUCAGUUUCACUUUGAUGAAAGUAUUCUUGCUUUUCAUGCAGUUUUCAGAUCAGAUCAAUUGUUUUAUUUUUCUAAAAUGCCAAAACCAGCAUAGCUAGGAGGAAACUUAUGCAGGAAAAAAUGAGCUGUUUCUUCUCUACUUUUUUGCACAACGUCACUUGCUUUUUUCAUGUAUUCUGUUAGUUCUAGUAGAUCCCACACUCUCUAAAGCUUUAUUCCAGAAAGGAAAAACUGCUGUAAUUACAGAGAAAAAUAUUAGGAUGCACAGCACAACUUUUUACCGCAACUCAAGGAGUAUGGCAUUCUUUUGUCACAUACCUCUUAAACAUAUGUGUUCUGCAGUUUGUCUUACAUCAAAAAACACUUUUUAAUGCAAUGCAAAAAGACAUUCAAAAGACAGUAUCAGAAGCUAUAAGUCACUUAGUUUGGAAAUAAAUCUACAGAAUUCCACCAGAGUAGCAGAAAUAAAAAAGCUCCUUUCGAAUGCCAAGGCCAAAUACACAAUACUCUAUAGGCAUGGUAUUUGCUAUGCCCUUUACUGGCAGAUUGAUUUUCAUGUUCUGACUAAACUAGCAGUUAGCAACAUUACACUGCUGGUUGGAUAACAAUGACAGCCCAAUUAGAAAGCACAGUCAAUGAACAGGUCAGGCAGCCAGGGUCCAGAUAUCCUAAGCAAGACUAGGCCUUUCAGUUUGUAAAACUUUCUGUUGACCCUUUCCUCAUCAUAAGUGACCCACCACAAAAACAUGUCAACAUUUUGUGAAGAAACAAAACAGAAAAUAAACUAUAACUUAUCCAAAUAAGCAAACAGCAUAAGAAAACUUUUUGAGGAAUUGUCAGCAUAGGAAAGAAAGCACAGGGGUAAUAGGGUGAUUUCUGAUUUCCCCAUAAAUAUGUUUUCUGUACUGGUUGUUGGGGAAAUGUUUUCGGAGAGCCUGUAUGAAUCAGACACAUAACAAUAAGAUAUAUUUUGAAAACUUAGAACCACCAAAACUAGAAAACGUAUUAUUUAGGCUGUAUUAUUUAGCCUACUUAUCUUUCCAUAUAAACACAAAUAAUUUUGAAUUUUUGCUUGAUCCCACUUUAAACUCAUAAAUAUGUAAUUAUAAUAUAAAAAUACUUCCGUAUGGAUUUGAGGUUAUGCAUCCUGAAUGCAGGCAACAGAGAUUUGUCGACAUAUGACAUAUACAAAGCAGAUGAAUGUAUGGAUCAGGAAGGAAACUACAUAAAUUACUGUGCUUUUAAACUUAAAGGGGGGCAGCUAGGUUGUUUUUGAUCAAACUUACAGUUCAACUCUGCAGACCCAGUAUUAGCCCAAGGGCUGUGAAAUCUAGUAUUGAUCACACAUGAAACACAUCUUUGGAGACAAAGUUCCCACCCCUUCCAAAUAAACAACAAGGUCCCCUUGAACUUUCAAAAUGGCCAAGAUCUUUCCUGAAGUCUACUGAUCUUUUUUUUACUUAAGACAGAUCUCUUUGUGAUAGUGUGGGUUUUAUUGUCAUAAAUAUAUCUUUUCAAUGUCACUGUUACUAUCUUCAUAAAAACACCUUGGCUAUGCCUUUUUGCAAAAUCCUCUUAUGUUCAGAAAUGCCUGUCCUUACAUCACUUCGUGCUCUCCUCACGUCUUAUCACUGUUUCUUCUAGCAUUAUCUAAUCUCACCUUUUAGUUUAACCUUGAACCUAGCUAGACUUGAUGUUCUAUGUGAGCAAGAACAGUUCUCAACUUUUAUUCUGUCAUACAUCCUCAGUUUCCAACUCCCAUGGUUGACUAGUUUUGCCUUUUCUAUGCUGCAGCCUUUAUAAGAGAUGGCCUUAUUUGCCUCUAAUCUCCAUGGUGACUUAAUGGUUUUACAUAAAUAGCAAAUGCAAACAAUAACAACAUGUAUUACUGCUCAUUAAGCUCCUUUCGAAAUUGUGUCAGUGAUUUUUGUUGUAUAAGAAGCAAUGUCAGGGUACCAUUACAAAAUCUAGGAACAGCAUUAAAUAAAAAAGUACAAAUGCAUUGAAGGUAUGUGCAUGAUGCUGUUUUCUGAACUGCAGUGUAGGCACAUCUGAAAUCUGCUUGCUCACACUACAGAAACUACUCAUUAGCAUCUGUAUAUAACACAUCAUCACCACAGGGAAAGCUAGUUUAAAAUCAUAAAUGUCAAGACAUAAUUAACUUAAAGGUCAGGUUUAAUUACAGUUGUUGAAACUGAAAUAUACUAAUUACCAUUACUAUGUCAGAAAAUUUCUUAAAACGAUUUGAAAUGUUUUGUUGGUGCACGUACUUUUCUAAAAUUGACAUCUUUUGUUCCAUGAUGGAGAUGUUUCAACGGGCAUUUUUUACUAACUUUGAAGCAGAAAGAGAACAAAACAGAAAACCAAGGAACAAAGCACCAUCACAAAGCUCAACAAAACCUGUUCUCUGCAUUACAAUAUUAUUAAUUACUUUCUUGUAAUUGACACUUUAGAGAAUCAUUUAGAUAAUGGAAUUAUUUCGAGAGUCUGGUGCAUGGAUGAAACAGAUUUAACUAUGUGGCUCUAAGGUUUAAUGACAAAACUAAUCAAUAAGUGAAACAGACUGGUAAGAAAAUAACUCAAUAACAGAAAAAUCUUCUCUACCUGUAGGAUUUUCCAAGGAUUCUACUGGGAAUAGCUAUUGACUCACAUAAGUAUUUUAGUUCUCUCUUUCCCCAAAGAUACAGAAAGUUUGAAUGCUGUGAUUACAUUCUCUUUUGUUAUCUAGUGUUUAUUCUCCCCUCCCCGCCACAGCCAGGAGUUCCAGCUUAUCUUUUCCUAUACUAUUAACAGAGCGAUAGACAUAUUUUUUUCCCCCCGAAGAAGCCAUUCCAAGCUAGGUAGAAUGCAGCAGAGAAAAGGUUAAGCUAUAUAAAGCUCAUUUCCCCCCAACAGCAUAGAUUUAGCUACUGUAUAGCCCCCAUGCAAAAAUUCAGAAGUCUAAAAGUGAAUAUAGCAGAUGACUCUGGAGGAAAAUAUCACUAGCUGAUGAAAAGAGGCCAUCAAACGUGCUGAUAAAAGAGACAUACUUGUUUAUUAAGUUUCAUUCAUCCUACACCUGAGGUCCUGGGUUGUAACAGCUGCCCCAUGCUGUGAAGGGUUCCAGUGCCCUCCAAAGUGCACUAAUCACCUAAGAUCAGCAAAAAAUAUUUCUACUAUUUCUGGAGGAAACCCUUCUACUCAGUAAGUGGGCAGCUCCCUGCCCCUUUCCCCCUCCUCUUUUGCAAGCCCCAGUACUUAGUGCUUCACAUAGAGCAACAGAAAAGAGCUCAAUAUCUGAACAUAAGGAAUAUAGACAUCAGCUGAAAGAGUGAAGGAUGGUCUCAGGUACACAACAAAAGUAUAGCAGAAAAGUGGCUGGCAAUUCAGAAACCACCAAAAGAAAAACCUUGGCUGUGAUACUGCCUUGCAUCUCAAUAAAUGGGUAAGGAUGGCAUUUAAUUAAAGAGUGCCUGCCUCCCAGGUACUGAUGACAUUGAAAUCAAUGUGGACAGACAGCAUUAAGGAUGGCAUAACCCAAAAAUUCUCUUAUUUAAGAUUUGCAGCUAACUGUUAGAGAAAAGUGAAAUUUAUUAAAGGCUUCCAUCUGGCAGAAUGUAUCAUUAGUAUUCAAACUGAUAGCAGCAGUGAUUUAAAUUUAAUAAUCUGAGUGGAGAUAUGCAUCAAAAAAAGAAUUCUUCUAAAAUAUAUCUAAUAGCAAUAACUGACUUCUUUAUUACAGUCUACCUGUGAAAAAUGCCAGAUAUCAAAGAAUAAGACAUCAAAUGUUAAUUUCAGUGUGUUCUUCCAGUUGAAACUCACAUUAAAAUAAUGUAGUUGGUGCAAAUCAAGUAGCACAGACUGUACUUGCUUGUCCCUUCCUUGAGGGAGAUUUGAAACAUCGAGGCCCAGAAAAAGCAGGAUUUUGCCCUUAUGGAAGGGAGGUUGUACGAGUGAGGUGCCCCGGCACCGGCAGUGGGGGCUGCAGAGGUGGCCGCUGUGAGAAGCAGCUGGGGCUGCCCCAGGCCAGCUACAGCUGAUUCCUGCUGUUCCAGCCACUGGCUCCAAUGCAGGACACAGCUGAGCCCUGCAGCCACAGGUGUGGCACCUCUGGGAAAAUGUAUUUAAGAAGGGGCAAAACUCACUCCAGGAAAGAGGAGCAAGUUAAAAACAAGUAAGUGUGAGAAACAGCUCUGUGCACACCAAGGUCAGAGAAAGAGGAGGGAGAGGAGCUGCUCCCAGUGCUAGAAUCAGAGAUUCUCCUGCAGCCCAUGGAAGAGACCAUAGCAGAACAAGUGUCUCCCAGGAGCCAGUGGAAAAGAGCAUGCCAGAGCAGAUGUCCAGAUGUCCAUACUGCAGCCCAGGAGACCCCACAAAAGAGUAGCUGGAUAUUCCCUAAAGGAAUGGCAGCCUCUGGACAGCUCAUGCUGGAGCAGGUUCUCCUGAUGGGAGCCGCAGCCCAUGGGAAGGCCCCACACUGGAGCAAGGGAAAAGUGUGAGGAGGAAGGAACAGAAGAGAAGUGCUAUGGACUGACUCCUGCCCCCAUUCCCCAUCUCCCUGCACAGCUUUGUGGGUGGGGGAGAUGGACAUGUUAAGAGGGAAGGAGUAAAGCUGAGCCUGGGAAAAAGGGGUGGAGGCUUGUGGGGAAGGAAGUUUAGUUUCUGUCUUUUUUUCUCACUAUCCAACUCUAUUUUAACUAGCAAUAAAUUAUAGUAAUUUUUCCUCAGUCAAGACUCUCUUGCCUCUGAUGGCAUUUGGUGAUUUCCCUGUCCUUAUCUCAACAUAUAAGCUUUUUCAUCCUAUCAUCUCCCCAUAUCCUGUUUACAAGGAGAAGAGAGUGGUUGGGUGGGUACUUGGCAGCUGGCCAAGGUCAACCUAAUCAUGUAUUUUUAUGGGGAACAUGUCCUUUGAAGCUGUACUUGCAUACGUGAGAAUUAUGCUGAGUAAAGUACAUGUAACACAGAAAGAUAAUUACAUUUUUUAUUUUAUUACAAGUUGUAUUCUGUCCUUGCUUUAAUUAAUUGUAUGAAGUUACUGCUCUGCUUUCAGUUUAUACAUCUGAGGUUUCAUUUUUUAGGUAAUAUCCACCUCUCAGUCUCAUAUUAAAGAAACUUUUUAUACAUCAUUCUUUCAGCUCUAUCUUAAUAUGGGAUUCAGAAAUAGCUUGCAUGAACUUAAGGUGACAAAACAAUGAACCAGCAGAGCAGUUUUUCUGUUAAUAUUUACAACGGAUGCCAAAAAAACACUCCAAAAGCUGCAGAUAGAGUCAUUGCUCUACUGCUCUACCUAGCAGGUGAACAAGGGAACAGACCAUUUUUUGGGGGGGAAAAGGAAACAUGAAAAUUAAGGCAAAGUGCAAGCAUCACAAAUUGAAGAGGUUGGAGAAAAAAUGUUGUAUUCAUUAUAAGAACAAGUAUAAAGUAACUACCCAGUGCAUAAUUUACAUCAUGGGUGAUGCGCAAACAAAAAUAUCCACAAAAUCUUACCCUUUUAAUGAUUUUUUUUUCUUAAUUGCAGAUUAAUGGGCAGUUCCACUUUACAGGCUGGUAAUUUGUCACUGUGAUCUGCUUUUAAAAGUUGAGCAAGAAAACACUAGAAUGCUCCAAACAUGCUGUUGUCUUCUUUUCAAGGCAGAAUUGUAGAAAAGCCUGGACCAGAAGAUAUCACACAGACACAGCGACCUUCAAGCCCAGAACUUUGGAGGAGCUCCAAGGACUGUACGUGCUGCAACAAAGAUGAAGAUGAGGAAGAAGGGGUCCCAAAGACCCCAAACCCAAUUCUCAGAGGGGUGUGUCAGGGGGCAGAACUGGGCAGAGCCAGUGGGUGGACAUUGGAUGGACCUUGUUAUAAAAUCAUAGAACCGCUCUCUGGGAGGCGCGCGCGACAUGUGUCCUGAGGCUUCAUUAAAGGACCUACUCUCUUUAUCUUAUCUUAUACACUAAAUUGGCCUGGAGUCAUUUUCUCCACACUCUUUUUAGGCAACAAGAUAAUAAUACCAAAUUCUUAAAGUCACUGAAAAUGUUCCUCACUGAAAAUGUUCUUCACAGUGGCAGAUCUCAGCUUUGCACAAUUUAGAGCUUCUCUGCCAGACCCCAAACCAUAGUAUGAGAAGAUUUUACUUUACAGCCAAGGAAGAUGCGUCCUAAUUGACUCUGAGUCAAUUAUGGUGUGAAAAUAUUGGGCUAUAUUUUAUUUUGAAGUUAAUUUGUAAAAAAAAAAAAAAAAAAAGAAAAAAAUUGGAAAGAUUUUCUUAUUCCUUGUAAAAAUAAUUAUGAAAAAAAUAAUUAUGUAAAAUUCUAGGAAUAAAACUAUAUUGUUCCAACUAAACUCCACUUUGUAGAACUAUAACUAAUUCCUAUUCAGCCAACCAUCAUGUUCCAUGCACAACUAUGUAUGUCUCUCUUUAGAAAAAUUCAUUAAAAGAAAAAAAGCAUGGUGGCAGAAGUGUAGCGUUCGUAAAAAGUAAGCCUAAGGAGUUCAGCUCUGCUAACUGCCAUGGCUUCUUCACAAAUCUUUGCCAGCCUUUCAUAAAAUUUUAUUGCACAAUUUUUACCUUUUCUUAAAUCCCCAAAGAUGAUGGAAUCAAUAAUAAUCUCAUCUUUUCUUGAAAAAAAAUAUUGUUCAAGACUAAGUAGAAAAGCUAUAGGGGAGAAUCACCCUUUAGCACACCAGAAAUUACAAGAUAAAUAGAAUCAAGCAUGUAUUAUGUUAAAAUAAAGUCUCAAGAUAUUCAUGCCACAUGUGUGAUUAUUAGAUGUGUGACAUCAGUGAUAUUGAAGCAGGGAAUUUUUCUUUUGUAACAUCAGAAAUGCAGAAAUGCUCACUUCGUUUAAAACCAUAAAAAGAAGAACUCAUAAAGCUGGGACAGGUGAAGAUACCCACAGGUUUUUAGUACCGCUAAAAUAAAAAUAAUGGGAUGCCCAAUAGGAGUGCAUGCUUCUGCUGUAUACUCAUACAAAUUGGAUAAAUCCUCUUCUGGACAAAUUAGGACGGGACAUAACCUGCUUACCCUUGACUCUCAGUGAGACUUCAUGCAGUAACAUAAACAUAAGCAAGAUAUGUGCCAUCUGAAGUUCAAUGAAUAUGAUAAAAAUCUGUAUUAUUAUUAAAUCCCUAGUCUAAGGAAUCUUACACUUCUGCAAUGGAAAAUUUUGAAACAUAUAAAAUUUGUAAACAAAGUAACCUAAAAAACAACCUUCUUUGGAUUAUUGGUUGCAGCUCAAAUUUCAAGAUAAUAUAUAUGGGAACACAGAGCCAGAUUCAUCAGUUUUAUUGACUCAUUAAUGUAGCUCUGAAUAAAUGAGAUUUUGUGUGUAGAUUUAGCUCGAAUGAUAAUUGCUAGGAUCAACAGUGUGAUACGUAUUUAAACCUGGGACUAUUGCCACUGAAUAAAUGAAGGAAUCAUUACUGGUUAAUCUUUGUAGGACAGUGUGUUCCUGCUUGGACCACGAAGUAUCAGCAAUAAUUUCUGCAAUGACUGGAAAAAACUCCAUCAUUUACAAUCAUAGGAAGAUUUUACCAUUUUGCUGAACCAGAAAUAGAGUAAAACUUUUGAAAUAUUUUCUGAGCAUGCUAUAGCUAAAAACAACAGCAGAUAAUGUAGGACAGAACUGCCCAAGUGCUUUAAAAUGUAGACAACAUUUUAGUGCUGUGAUGUAGACAACAUCACAGUCAGUAUUUUUAGAAGAAUGUGUGUUUUAUAGAUUAUUUCUAUUCCUUUUACUGUUAGUCCCUAGAAUAAGAAAAACUAUCAGAAGGUUCUUAUACAGGAAUUGGUUUCUUUGGUCUGGAAUCAGUAGUCACAAUCUAAAAGAAUUUUUUUAAUCCUCUGCUCUGGAAUAUUUUUUAUAACAGGUGUUAACUAGAUUUGUGGUCUAUAAUGUUGUUUAUUCUUAAUUUGUGGGCUAUAAUGUCAUGUCUGCACUCAGUUGUAGACAGCUGCAAUUUGGAGUAUCCAACUUCAAGAUAACAAAAUAAUCUGAUUAAAUAAGGAUUUUCUGAAAAACAGUUUUUACUACAGCUUGAAAACUAAAAGAAAAUUGGAAUAAAAUGGCAGAAAACUUGUACACCAUGCUUGAAUGGUAGAAGUUAUUGGGUCCAGACUAGAUUUUCUCAUGUGAGGGAGAGAUAUCUCCCCUGAUUCAGGCCAGAGAUGUUAGCAGUGUUUCCUGUCCCUCUGUGUCUGAGGUGAUUCACUUUCUGUUGCUGGCAUGAUUCCACUCUGUACAAAGAAUUUAUUGCUAAUGAACUCUGCCUGCCCAGACCCCAGGUGAAUUUCUGUCCACUAAGAUACAAAAAAAGUCUUUCCCCUUUUCUCCAUAGCAAAUGAAAUUAUAAUGUAAAAUAGAAAGAUUUUGGUUUAGACUCAGUUCACAGUGACAGAUCAUUUAUUACCUAGACCCAAGAAAAUUACUAUAAACCAAUUAUAAAAUCAGUCACUACUUGCAUUCCACUGAGAUGAACAAAGAGCCAUUCUCAGAUGACAAGUCAACAAAAGUUAUUUUCAGAAUUGCAAACCUCAUUACAAAAUUUUUGGGUUUACAGCUUUUAAAUGACAAAAACAAUUUAAUGGAUUUAGUUGGUAGAAAGACGUCAUAAGAAGUUGACUGCGCACUUCCAUAGGACCUAGGAUGGUUGAUCACAAGUGUAAGGAACUUCACUACAGUAAUUUCACCUUUCUUAAUAGCUACGUUACGGUACAAUAAUUUUUAGGCAAACAUAGAAUAUUCAAGCAACUCAAACAUCUGAUUGCUUUUACAUUUCAAACACUCAGAAAUAUUUGAACUUGAACUCUAAAAUAAAUAGAAAUAUAGAGAGAAGACAAAGAAAAAAAUGAUGGGUUUAGCUAAGUUAUUC